rnacentral:rRNA from 1 species
GACGAACGCUGGCGGCGUGCCUAAUACAUGCAAGUCGAGCGAGCGGAACUAACAGAUUUACUUCGGUAAUGACGUUAGGAAAGCGCGCGGCGGAUGGGUGAGUAACACGUGGGGAACCUGCCCCAUAGUCUGGGAUACCACUUGGAAACAGGUGCUAAUACCGGAUAAGAAAGCAGAUCGCAUGAUCAGCUUUUAAAAGGCGGCGUAAGCUGUCGCUAUGGGAUGGCCCCGCGGUGCAUUAGCUAGUUGGUAAGGUAAAGGCUUACCAAGGCGAUGAUGCAUAGCCGAGUUGAAAGACUGAUCGGCCACAUUGGGACUGAGACACGGCCCAAACUCCUACGGGAGGCAGCAGUAGGGAAUCUUCCACAAUGGACGCAAGUCUGAUGGAGCAACGCCGCGUGAGUGAAGAAGGUUUUCGGAUCGUAAAGCUCUGUUGUUGGUGAAGAAGGAUAGAGGUAGUAACUGGCCUUUAUUUGACGGUAAUCAACCAGAAAGUCACGGCUAACUACGUGCCAGCAGCCGCGGUAAUACGUAGGUGGCAAGCGUUGUCCGGAUUUAUUGGGCGUAAAGCGAGCGCAGGCGGAAGAAUAAGUCUGAUGUGAAAGCCCUCGGCUUAACCGAGGAACUGCAUCGGAAACUGUUUUUCUUGAGUGCAGAAGAGGAGAGUGGAACUCCAUGUGUAGCGGUGGAAUGCGUAGAUAUAUGGAAGAACACCAGUGGCGAAGGCGGCUCUCUGGUCUGCAACUGACGCUGAGGCUCGAAAGCAUGGGUAGCGAACAGGAUUAGAUACCCUGGUAGUCCAUGCCGUAAACGAUGAGUGCUAAGUGUUGGGAGGUUUCCGCCUCUCAGUGCUGCAGCUAACGCAUUAAGCACUCCGCCUGGGGAGUACGACCGCCAGGUUGAAACUCAAAGGAAUUGACGGGGGCCCGCACAAGCGGUGGAGCAUGUGGUUUAAUUCGAAGCAACGCGAAGAACCUUACCAGGUCUUGACAUCUAGUGCCAUUUGUAGAGAUACAAAGUUCCCUUCGGGGACGCUAAGACAGGUGGUGCAUGGCUGUCGUCAGCUCGUGUCGUGAGAUGUUGGGUUAAGUCCCGCAACGAGCGCAACCCUUGUUAUUAGUUGCCAGCAUUAAGUUGGGCACUCUAAUGAGACUGCCGGUGACAAACCGGAGGAAGGUGGGGAUGACGUCAAGUCAUCAUGCCCCUUAUGACCUGGGCUACACACGUGCUACAAUGGGCAGUACAACGAGAAGCGAGCCUGCGAAGGCAAGCGAAUCUCUGAAAGCUGUUCUCAGUUCGGACUGCAGUCUGCAACUCGACUGCACGAAGCUGGAAUCGCUAGUAAUCGCGGAUCAGCACGCCGCGGUGAAUACGUUCCCGGGCCU